UACAGAGGGUGCAAGCGUUAUUCGGAGUUACUGGGCGUAAAGCGCGUGUAGGCGGCUUGUUAAGUUUGAUGUGAAAGCCCUGGACUCAAUCCAGGAAGUGCAUUGAAUACUGGCGAGCUAGAGUACAGGAGGGGAGAGUGGAAUUCCAGGUGUAGAGGUGAAAUUCGUAGAUAUCUGGAGGAACAACAGUGGCGAAAGCGGCUCUCUGGACUGUUACUGACGCUGAGACGCGAAAGCGUGGGGAGCAAACAGG
rnacentral:rRNA from 1 species